rnacentral:misc_RNA from 1 species
GAUGAAGAACGUAGCGAAAUGCGAUAAGUAAUGUGAAUUGCAGAAUUCAGUGAAUCAUCGAAUCUUUGAACGCAUCUUGCGCUCCUUGGUAUUCUGAGGAGCAUGCCUGUUUGAGUGUCAUUAAAUUCUCAACUACACUGACUUUGAAUUGGUGUGGCUUGGAUUUGGGGGGAAAAUUGUUGUGGGCUUUUUGUAUAGUCUGCUCCCCUGAAAUUGAUUAGCGGUACCCUUGUGGAACUGUCUACAGGUGUGAUAAUUAUCUACAUCUUAGACAUCUGCUGGAAUGCUGCUUUCUAAACCUUACUUGUAUUGACAAUCUUGACCUCAAAUCAGGUAGGACUACCCGCUGAACUUAAGCAUAUCAAUAAGCGGAGGA